rnacentral:misc_RNA from 1 species
AUGGCAUUUGGGUUGUUAUGCUAUAAGGGGUUAAGAGUUGUGACGAUGUUAAAACCUUAAAUUUUUGGCACAAUGGUAAGCGAUCAAUCCUAUAAUUAGUAUCAGAGCUAAGGUCAUGAGUUCGAUUCCCUGACAGGUGCUAAGGGUGGAUUGUUAGCACUGAGUGGGGAUAGCUCAAGGAGCCAGCAUUUUGUCCAGAUCCCUUUGACCCAUGACACUUAGAUUGUUACCCUAUAAAGGGUUUUAUAGUUAUGUCUACUAAAAAUUUAAACUUUUGGUACGGUGGUAA